UUUUUUUUUAUUAUUAUUUUAGUUUAGUGUAGACCUAUUGGUGGCCUUCGGUUGUUUUCUGUUUUCUGCUCUUUGGUUUGGCUGUUGUCUCUUUGCCACAUUCUUUAUUUCCAUUCUCAAUUGUAUUAAUUGAAUAAUUGAUUAGUUGAUUGCUUGAUUUGUUAAUUGAUUGCUUGCUUGAUUGAUUGAUUGCGGGAUUUGCUCAUUGUACUACAAACAAAAGUAAUGAUCAUUUGAGAAUCCUUUAUUUGUAUUGUAGUCUUCAUUUAACCAAUGAAACUCUACAUUUACUUUUGCCUUAGAAUUAUAUUAAUGACUGUCUGGUAACUAUAUAUAAGACACGCAAGAAUGUGAAAUAUAAAAACUUAUUUGGCCUUCAAUAUCUCAACCUUUUGAAUGUAUGUAACUUCUUUGUUCAGUUAUAUUUCGAAUUUGACAUUGUUUUUACAAACUACCAUUAUAAAUUUCCGGGAAAUGUUCUGCAUAAAACCCUUUGGGAAAGCACAUUGACGUAAUUUUCCAAACAUUUAUUGUAGCCCAAUAAUUUUAUAAGGUGUUGCAACAUGUAAUUGUAAAGACGUUACAGCCGAUUCAGUGAGUGUGUAGGCAAAUGUGGUAUUAUUGGUUAGAUUGCUUGCUACAUUGUAGCUGUAUGGUGAAGUCAUUAUUAGGUUAGGCAAACUACCCUCC
rnacentral:lncRNA from 1 species